CCCAUCUGUAUCCAAAAGUAGCCCAGUGACUGGUGAACAAAGAAAACGAAGAAGGUGUGAGCUACCUGCUGACAAAUAUUCAUGGAGUUGCAGCGGUAGCAAGGGAAACAGGGGAUUCUACCUAGUUGAUUACCCACAGCUGGGGUAUAACGUCACAUCCACUGUAGCGCCAUACAGCUGGAAUUAUACUAAUAUAGAUACGUCUGUAAUGGUGACGGUGGGUGUGGAAACUAAGGCUGUCGUAAUCCACGUCUUCGGUAAGGACAUCAGUAUUAACGGAUACAGUGGAUAUGGUGCGUUUAUCCCCUCCGAUCUCGGCCCUCAGUCCAAGGUAUGCAGUGUCCACCUGCCUGGUUUACACGGAUUAUGUGGUGUUAGUGAUUGCUAACUACAACCAGAAGACGGACGUGGACAUAACGCUGAUGCUGGAGGGGAACCUCACCUAUGACAACAUGACAUACAACGACGGAGACACGAUUCACGUGAGUCUAGAUGAGUAUCAGACCUUCACGUUGAAGAGCGCCUAUGACCUGACUGGAACUGUUAUCAACACAACACGUGCUGUAGCUGUGUUUCAGUGGGGCAAUGGAAGGACGUGAUGUCAAAGCCGUUGCACAACUAUUACCUGUACGACAUCAUGGUACAGAGUUUGUCCUGUCUACACAGGAUUUAUCCUCUGAAAGGGGCCCUGCAUACCAGCUGCAAAUUGUUGAGUGACCAGUUCGACGCUGAAAUUAUGUUGAACAAUGGAUCUAUAUUCUCUCUUGGUGACAACCGUGUGUAUCGUCAAAACCUCGUGUAUAACGAGACACUGUAUUUUAAUACCACAAGACCUGUCAUUGCAACCUUGUGUAGAGUCGGCGCACUAGUACACUCCACAUGGGUUUGUUGUUUGUAACUCCAGUUGAAAUAUUUUAUUAACAAUGCACAGGUUCAUUAUGCACAAUGUAUAAACAUACUGACUAAACAACACGUAACAGAUAUUGAAGUAUUUAGCAGCGACAUGACCCUGCUACAAUGGACUGGGUGGACAUCCCUCGUAGUGAUUACAAACAGGGAACAGCUUGUUUACUCGAGAGUUACUUUGUCCGCUCUACCAACAGAUUCGCUCUGUAUGUGUUUCGCUACGAUAUUAUCACAGGAGGCUACCAUUUCCCAGCUGAUCAAUCAACCACACCUGCUACUACAGGUCUCGAGGACAAGUCGUGCUUGAAAAGUCAAAACUUGGAAACCUGUGAUACACAUUCCAUGUGGACUUAUGAGAACGUGAUUGUUUAUCCAUUGAUUGUUUCCUUUAAAAGUAUAAGAUUAAAACAUUUCUGUGUGA